GCGGGCAUGGCGGAAUGGCAGACGCGUACGGUUCAGGUCCGUAUGAAAGAAAUUUCUUGCAGGUUCAAAUCCUGUUGCCCGCA
rnacentral:tRNA from 1 species